rnacentral:rRNA from 1 species
AGUGAACGCUGGCGGUAGGCCUAACACAUGCAAGUCGAACGGCAGCACAGUAAGAGCUUGCUCUUACGGGUGGCGAGUGGCGGACGGGUGAGGGAUACAUCGGAAUCUACUUUUUCGUGGGGGAUAACGUAGGGAAACUUACGCUAAUACCGCAUACGACCUACGGGUGAAAGCAGGGGAUCUUCGGACCUUGCGCGAUUGAAUGAGCCGAUGUCGGAUUAGCUAGUUGGCGGGGUAAAGGCCCACCCAGGCGACGAUCCGUAGCUGGUCUGAGAGGAUGAUCAGCCACACUGGAACUGAGACACGGUCCAGACUCCUACGGGAGGCAGCAGUGGGGAAUAUUGGACAAUGGGCGCAAGCCUGAUCCAGCCAUACCGCGUGGGUGAAGAAGGCCUUCGGGUUGUAAAGCCCUUUUGUUGGGAAAGAAAAGCAGCAGGUUAAUACCCCGCUGUUCUGACGGUACCCAAAGAAUAAGCACCGGCUAACUUCGUG